UACGUAGGGUGCGAGCGUUGUCCGGAAUUAUUGGGCGUAAAGGGCUCGUAGGCGGUCUGUCGCGUCGAAUGUGAAAACUCAGGGCUUAACCCUGAGCCUGCUUCCGAUACGGGCAGACUAGAGGUAUGCAGGGGAGAACGGAAUUCCUGGUGUAGCGGUGAAAUGCGCAGAUAUCAGGAGGAACACCGGUGGCGAAGGCGGUUCUCUGGGCAUUACCUGACGCUGAGGAGCGAAAGUGUGGGGAGCGAACAGG
rnacentral:rRNA from 1 species